rnacentral:misc_RNA from 1 species
GCACCUACCGAUGUUUGGUCCGGUGAAAUCUUAGGAUUCGUGACAUACACUCGUCAGCUCUUUCGGGGGAAGGUGAGUUUGUUGUGGAGAAUUUGAGUAAACCUUGCCAAAUAGAGGAAGGAGAAGUCGUAACAAGGUAUUCGUAGGUGAACCUGCAGAAGGAUCACGAUGGGAAGAGCGUCGGUAGGGGACGGAGUGUGGAGCUCGGUGGUCGCCGAAUAAUUAAAAAAAAAAACACACAGAAGACACAUACAUAUCAUAGGAAUUAUCACAAC